rnacentral:lncRNA from 1 species
GCAUAUGCAGUCCUGUCAGAUCCUGCCAAGGUAUUUUCUGCAUUUUCAUCUGACUGGUGUGACUCUACAAACUUUUGGAGAGUAUUUAUUUCUUCGUUAUUCCCUUUUUGCAGCGAUCACAGUUUGAUUCUGAAGAAGAAACAAGAAAUUCUCAAAAGAAACCCCAAGGAAAUAGCAUGACCAGAAAUAAUGUCAUGGAUCAAACUGACAAUAGGAGACACCGGAAAGGGGUUUGGAGAUCAUAUGGUAGCUCAUCUUUCAAAGAUUCUGAAGCUGGCCGGUCAAGUAGGCAAUAAGAAAACAAAAGUUGAAAAUUUUAGUCCAUGGCUACAAUCUUCACUGCAGUCUGACUCAUUGAAUGAGGUGAAGUUUGGUGGUGUUUUCAUCUUUAUGCAUUUUAUACUAACAUGCACGCUAAUUUAAGACUGAGACCAAUGGCAUUGCAGUUGGAGAAGCUUGGUUCUUGGGAUUUCUUUGAGAUAUCGGAAGAGUUUAUCUUCUGGCAUGCAGAAAGCUAUCAUGGUUGCGUUCUAUUUUUAUUUUUGCUUUUUUCUGUUUUAACUACUCACAAUAUGCUGGGAUGACAACAAGAAUGAAAAGAAAGUCCGAAAAUUGUUUGAAUUUUUUGAGGUUUGUAAAGAUCUUUUACUGUCAGAAAGUUUAUAUACCCACAAACAACCAAACAGACUACAUUAAAUUGUGUAAUUCCACAUGAAAUUUUCUAAUGACCUAAAAAUGUGUUGUCCAUGGAUCUAUGCAAAGAUUUUACAUUUACAUUUUCUCCUGAACUGUACAAUUAAGUUAACUUCAAACCUCUGUUUCACUAGCAGUUGAAUUAAUGUUUCGAAUCUCAAGAUCAGAGAACCAAUAUAGAAGGUCUUUUUUUUUGUAUCUAAGAUAUAUUUCAAUAUACUGUAUUUCUUAUUAUCUUAUACAAAUAUUCUUUUUACAAUUGAAUUAUCAUAUAUUCAAAAUAUUUAAUAAAUUCUUCCUGAUUUUUAUGAAAAUACUAUAAUAAAAUUGGUAUGUGUAUUUUAUUCGAUACUAUAUUAGCUUUACUAUUAUAAAUUUAAUAUGGUCUUCCAUAUAUUUAUAAGAAUAUUAUAAAUUAUGGGUAUUUAUAAUUUAUUUGCUAUGAAUGCUAUUUCUACCAUUAAGUUGUGAUAAAUUUAAGAGAUCAAUAUCUUCUUCCAAAUCUUUAUAAAAUAAUUUAUAAAUUUUGUGUGUGAAGAGACACUACAAAGUAUUAUCCAAUUCCUAAUACAUAAAUAUAUGCAUUUCAGAUUAUAUAAUCCCAAACAUUUCCAAACAGAGUAAUCCACUGUAUCUUUAAAUUCUGCAAUCGGAAAAUCUUUAUUGAAUCCAAGACAAAUCCAAACAACAGAAUCCAAAACUUAAAGUGAAAAAAAAAAAAACCUCAACCAAAAUGAAUGAACUAGAAUCACCUCCUACCAACGCCGGCGACGAGUACGAAACACCAUAUCCACCUACGAAUCAUCACCAACCACCACCGUCCACCACCAGAAAUGAUACCACAACCUUUACAACACAAUAAAAACACUCUAACUUUAUUUAUCUCCACAAGGAUAUAAAUAGUAUUUCGAAGAGUAUCGGUUGAAGGUGGAAAGCAUGAAAGUGCAGGAAGCACCGUAUGGAGAAAUUCACAAGUUAUUCUUCCUCUUCAUCGUCUUAUAGCGUUGUAGCAGAGUCUUCUGUUGCUGCUAUUUUUACUGUCUUUGGAU